rnacentral:tRNA from 2 species
GCUGCCGUAGUUCAACGGAUAGAACAAGGGUUUCCUAAACCCUAGAUGUAGGUUCAAUUCCUGCCGGUGGCA